rnacentral:sRNA from 1 species
AAGGAUGAGAAGCUUCGACCAAGGUUCGAUUCGAGCGCAGCGAGAAAGCGUUGCCGCAAGCAACGACCCGAAGGGCGAAGCGCGCAGCGCUGAGUCAUCCUU